rnacentral:rRNA from 1 species
GCUCGGUCUGAUUGUGGCGACGGGUGAGUAACACGUGAGUAACCUGCCCCCCUCUUCGGGAUAACCUCGGGAAAUCGUGGCUAAUACCGGAUAUGAGCACUCAUCGCAUGGUGGGUGUUGGAAAGAUUUAUCGGUGGGGGAUGGACUCGCGGCCUAUCAGUUUGUUGGUGAGGUAAUGGCUCACCAAGGCGAUGACGGGUAGCCGGCCUGAGAGGGCGACCGGCCACACUGGGACUGAGACACGGCCCAGACUCCUACGGGAGGCAGCAGUGGGGAAUAUUGCACAAUGGGCGAAAGCCUGAUGCAGCGACGCCGCGUGGGGGAUGACGGCCUUCGGGUUGUAAACCUCUUUCAGUAGGGAAGAAGCGAGAGUGACGGUACCUGCAGAAGAAGCGCCGGCUAACUACGUGCCAGCAGCCGCGGUAAUACGUAGGGCGCAAGCGUUGUCCGGAAUUAUUGGGCGUAAAGAGCUUGUAGGUGGCUUGUCGCGUCUGCCGUGAAAACCCGAGGCUCAACCUCGGGCGUGCGGUGGGUACGGGCAGGCUAGAGUGUGGUAGGGGAGACUGGAACUCCUGGUGUAGCGGUGAAAUGCGCAGAUAUCAGGAAGAACACCGAUGGCGAAGGCAGGUCUCUGGGCCAUUACUGACACUGAGAAGCGAAAGCAUGGGUAGCGAACAGGAUUAGAUACCCUGGUAGUCCAUGCCGUAAACGUUGGGCACUAGGUGUGGGGGACAUUCCACGUUCUCCGCGCCGUAGCUAACGCAUUAAGUGCCCCGCCUGGGGAGUACGGCCGCAAGGCUAAAACUCAAAGGAAUUGACGGGGGCCCGCACAAGCGGCGGAGCAUGCUGAUUAAUUCGAUGCAACGCGAAGAACCUUACCAAGGCUUGACAUGCACCGGACGACUCCAGAGAUGGGGUUUUCUUCGGACUGGUGCACAGGUGGUGCAUGGUUGUCGUCAGCUCGUGUCGUGAGAUGUUGGGUUAAGUCCCGCAACGAGCGCAACCCUCGUUCUAUGUUGCCAGCACGUCAUGGUGGGGACUCAUAGGAGACUGCCGGGGUCAACUCGGAGGAAGGUGGGGACGACGUCAAAUCAUCAUGCCCCUUAUGUCUUGGGCUUCAAGCAUGCUACAAUGGUCGGU